AUUGAACGCUGGCGGCAGGCCUAACACAUGCAAGUCGAGCGAGCGGCGGACGGGUGAGUAAUGUCUGGGAAACUGCCUGAUGGAGGGGGAUAACUACUGGAAACGGUAGCUAAUACCGCAUACCAUCAGAUGUGCCCAGAUGGGAUUAGCUAGUGGGUGGGGUAACGGCUCACCUAGGCGACGAUCCCUCGCUGGUCUGAGAGGAUGACCAGCCACACUGGAACGGAGACACGGUCCAGACUCCUACGGGAGGCAGCAGUGGGGAAUAUUGCACAAUGGGCGCAAGCCUGAUACAGCCAUGCCGCGUGUGUGAAGAAGGCCUUCGGAUUGUAAAGCACUUUCCUCAGAGAAGCGUUACCCGCAGAGGAAGCACCGGCUAACUCCGUGCCAGCAGCCGCGGUAAUAC
rnacentral:rRNA from 1 species